rnacentral:rRNA from 1 species
UACGGAGGGGGCUAGCGUUGUUCGGAAUUACUGGGCGUAAAGCGCACGUAGGCGGUUAUUUAAGUCAGAGGUGAAAGCCUGGAGCUCAACUCCAGAACUGCCUUUGAGACUGCGUCGCUUGAAUCCGGGAGAGGCGGGUGGAAUUCCGAGUGUAGAGGUGAAAUUCGUAGAUAUUCGGAAGAACACCAGUGGCGAAGGCGGCCCGCUGGACCGGUAUUGACGCUGAGGUGCGAAAGCGUGGGGAGCAAACAGG